CGACAUCCUGAAACCACGGACCCCCACCUUUCCCAAAGUGGGGUUAUAUGUCCUUAUUCCCUCCAAUAUUUAUCUCAAAAUUUGGGCAGGAAAAAAAAAUGUGAUUGCUCUUUUCCAAAUACCUUUAUGAAUCUUCAAUUAGACUCCACAAAUAAGGAUUGAGAGCCUGACAGGUUCACAGCAUUCUGCUAAGCACCACCCAACCAGGGACAGAGAUAAAUAAGACACAGAUUCCUUCGUGCCCCCAUAGCAACCUGUGCAUAUUGCUAAAAUCAUACCCGUGACACACAUUAAAUUCAUGAAACCAUAUGCCUUUCAGAGAACAGGGACCAAGUCUCAGCCAUCAUGGUAUCUCUAACACCUAUCGCAGUUCCUGGUACAGAGGAGGUUUUACAAAACAUGUUAGCUAAACCAAACAGAAACCAGUUCCAGCUCCUGCCCUUGAGAAGGUCACAAUCCAGAGAGAGGUGCCCUGGCUUCCGCUAUAAAUCAGUGCUCCUGUUGUGAACAUCAGUGCAUCUCAGGGAACCCAGCCCAUACAACAAACACACAGGGCACUAUCUUUCCUGGCAAGAUGUAUACCACAGGCAGCACUCUGGCGAACCCUCUCCCAGGACUCGGAGCUGUGUCUCAGCAGGAUGAGUCACACUGAACCAUCCCUACUUUUCUUCCCGUCUUCCUCAGAGCCAUGGACUUGUAAGAAAGAGGGGCAGGAAGGGGUACAGUCUGGGUGACCUUGAGACCUGGAUGCCCCUCUGACUGUCAGCUAACUGGUGGAGCGCGUGGGUCUCCCUGCUAGGCAACUUCAGACACAGCCCCAGGAUUCCAGCAGGCCUGUCCCCGUCAGCCAGUGCACCCAGACCAGACUGGUCAGUCUGGUAUUUCUGAGUCCCAUCCCAGCCCCCACACCACCGAUGAGAGCCCUGCCUGGAAGAGAAGUGGCCUCAAGCAGCGCAACAGCCCUACCUAAGGAUGACCCGGAGGUACUCGAUCCCCUCUGCUUCCUCGCACUUGACGGACAGGAUCAAGUUCCCCAGGCUGCUGCCGGUACAGUAAAAGUUUAGAUGAUCCUAAAAAAAGAAACUGAGUGUGAGCAGGAAGGAGGAAGAAACCUUCCAGGUAUGUUCCCCCUAAACCACCUCCUUCACCAGGAGAAGCCCCACAGCAACAAGGAAGAGAAGGAUGCUACUGAUGACAAUGACAACGACAUUAACAGGUACCGACGGCCGGAUCCUCAGGAGGCGCCAGGCACCGUGCCAGGGGCUUAAUACCCACUAUCUCCUUCAGUCCUGACCACAGCUGUAUCCGGGAGAGAACAUCAUCCCCAUUUCACAGAUGGGAAAACCAAUGGUCGGGGGGUUAAGUCACUGCCCAGGAUGACACGAUGAGUAAGGGACAGAUCCAGGGUUCAAACGCACAGCUGUCUUGACUCUGAAGGGCAAGUUCUUAACCACAAGAUACCGAGUCCACAUUCUCAUUCCCAUGGGGCGGCCCUCACCAGUUCACACUAUCUGGGGCAAGACAGCAAGGAGGAACCCUGGCACCUCCACCCAGGGGAGCUGGGAGGUGUCCUGAGCCAGUGGGUCACUCCCUGGCUCGGGGAACACGGGCGAAAAACACAGCUCCCCAGACCUGCUGGAUCAGACUGAGGCCCUGGAAUCUGCAUGCUAACAAGACCCAGGGGCUCUGAGGCAGCCUCCCGUCACGUGAGACUCUGCAAAGCGGCCUCAGGCUACAGAUUUCCGGAAUCUGCCCUCAGUACAUCAAGAACCUGGUAAAUCUGAAGGGCAGAAUCUAUUCUUUUAAAUUUAACUUUGUCACUUUUAAGCAAUCAGAGGCUCGCAGACACUAUGCAGUACAAGCACUCAGAGGAUCUGCCUGAAUGAGGACGGAGAGAUUUGCGUGAUUUAGAUGGAAACAGAGACUUCUUGAGGUGUGAGAACACAUUUUUCCUCGAACAGUCAAAACUCCAGCCACCGUCCUUCACCCCAAACACUACCCAUUCCAUCGCCUCCCGAAACAUUUGCGGGGGGUGGUCCCCACAAGGACUCAUGGCACUGGGCCUCCCUGAUUGUUACAUGGCUCCCCUGCCCCGUCCCCUAUCCCAGGACAGAGGCCCUCAGACCUCUCCAACUAAGACAGCAGCAGGCAGCAACAAAAGGACAGACUAGGAAGGAGAUGCUGCUCCCCAGCGAUGUUGGGGUGCCCACGUUCUCCGGGUCCUCGAUCCAAUAGCCCCCAAACUGUGGCAGGAUGACCUGAGGCAGGAAGAGAGGUCCCAGGCCCAAGGUUCUCUCCCCUGGGGGGCUGGGCACAGGCCAUCGCCAUCAUUUCCCCAGGGACGGGACCCAGAGCAGGCUGCAGGGCAGGUGGGAGUGAGGGGAGGGCACCUACCUCGUCGAUGCUGGGGUAUGGGAUAUAGUCGUCCUGCAAGACAAACCAGAUGAUGCCACCGUUAGUCCCGGCAGUGCCCGUAAAGUCUGACCACUGUUUCCAGGUCUUGCAAGGGGGAUAUGUUGUGGGGGGGCUUUGAGGGAGGAACAUUCGAUGGAAGAACAGCUCAGAAUCAGCUCUGGAAUCUAACAUCCCCCAUGUUCUUCUCCAAACUGACAGAACCCAAACAUAAACCCUGCCAGCUGAUGAUGCAGUGUCCGAAGGUGCUGAACUUCUCACCCCUCGUGAUACCAGCUUCUCAUCCUAGAACGCUCAUUCCGGAAAAUGACCCCUAGUCUCCCCCAGCACCCCUUUCCAGGCAGGCGGACUGACCUCCAAGUGAUAAGCGGCACCCCUGGGUUGGGAAGCUGAGAGCUGACUGCCCACUGGAACCCGGGGCACAGAGCCUGACACCCUUACACACUGCACAGGGUAGGGAAGAGCCGGGCCAAACGGCCAAGCCUGAGGUCCCACCGAGGCCUCCACCCCCAGCCUGCUCUGAAGCUGUCCUAAGGCAUCAAGCCAGGACCCCUCUGCUGCCCACCGUGCACUGGUCUAACAAGGCAGUCGUGAAGCGGCCCGUGGUGCGAGUCAGAGUUAGACAGGUGUGAGACAGAAGACCCCAGCAUCCCGGCAGCCCCUCCUGCCUUCCUCUCGCCCUAGCCCCUCACCAGGGCCGUCUGGCCACCCCCUCACCCACCCAGCCCACCUUGUUCUUCUGGGGUCCCGGCUUCUGCUCUUCAAGCUUGAUCCCCUAUAGAAACAAGGAAAACAGGAUCCACAGAAAAGCAAAGGUCAGAAGACAGGGCCAGAUAAAGAGCACCUGGCCUUACAGGGGGUUAGUAACAGGAGCAGCAGCAAAAGCUGGCCCGUGCUGGGCCUGCACACAUCACACCUGGCCAGGGGCGGGCCUCACAGCAGCCUCAGGUGAGGCAACAGCGCCGCUGGGCUAACAGCAUAGACUUGAGCCAGAUCGCCGGGGUUCAAAUCCCAACACUGCCACCUAUCAGCCUGAUGACCUUGGCAAGUCACAGAAACCUCUCUGUGACUCAAUGUUCUCAUCUGUAAAAUGGGAAUGAUGAUGGCAUCGACUAUGGUGGUGAAGGUUAAAGGUUAACAAUGGGUUGAGCACUUGGAACACUGACUGGUAUAUAAUAAAUGCUGUGGGUCAUUAUCAUCAUGAAGGAGGCGGUAUUAUCAUUCAAAGCUUAAAUAGCUGUCUUGUCGGACACAGUGGCUCACGCCUGUAAUCGCAGCACUUUGGGAGGC
rnacentral:lncRNA from 10 species